rnacentral:rRNA from 1 species
AAUAGAUACCCGGGUAGUCCACGCCGUAAACGGUGGGCACUAGGUGUGGGGACCAUUCCACGGUCUCUGCGCCGCAGCUAACGCAUUAAGUGCCCCGCCUGGGGAGUACGGCCGCAAGGCUAAAACUCAAAGGAAUUGACGGGGGGCCCGCACAAGCGGCGGAGCAUGCGGCUUAAUUCGAAGCAACGCGAAGAACCUUACCUAGGCUUGACAUGCAGGGAAAUCUGGCAGAGAUGCCAGGUCCUUCGGGGCCGUUGCACAGGUGGUUGCAUGGCUGUCGUCAGCUCGUGUCGUGAGAUGUUGGGUUAAGUCCCGCAACGAGCGCAACCCUCGUUCUAUGUUGCCUAGCGGUUUCGGCCGGGGACUCAUAGAAGACUGCCGGGGUCAACUCGGAGGAAGGUGGGGAUGACGUCAAGUCAUCAUGCCCCUUAUGUCUAGGGCUGCACGCAUGCUACAAUGGUCGGUACAAAGGGCUGCGAUACCGUAAGGUGGAGCGAAUCCGAAAACGCCGGCCUCAGUUCGGAUUGGGGU